UGCCAUUUUACUUUGGGAAUUUUCUCCUUCUCUUCCACUUUUCGAGACAACAUUUUACAUUAGUAUCUUCACUGCUAAUUUAGUGGCUUUACAAGAUUGCUGGCAGUUUCAACAUUAAUAGAUGGAAACUUACAAAUCCUUUGUGGGGGAUGCAAUGUUGAUAGCAACAUCAAUUUCCCCCGAACAUGAUUUGUGUUACUCUCACUCUUCAAAAUAUUGAUGGGAGCAUGUCGAAUUUUCCAAAGUACUGUAUUUUUUGGAGAAUUCAAUACGGGUGUGGUAUCAAAUGUGAGGAGUCCGUGCAACUUAGAAUCUAUCUAUG